rnacentral:rRNA from 1 species
UACGUAGGUGGCAAGCGUUGUCCGGAUUCAUUGGGCGUAAAGGGCGCGUAGGCGGGAUGGCAAGUCGGUCGUGAAAUCCUUCGGCUCAACCGAAGAACGUCGGCCGAUACUGCCGUUCUUGAGGGAUGCAGAGGAGAUUGGAAUUCCCGGUGUAGCGGUGAAAUGUGUAGAGAUCGGGAGGAACACCGGUGGCGAAGGCGGUUCUCUGGGCCUGACCUGACGCUGAGGAGCGAAAGCGUGGGGAGCGAACAGG